rnacentral:rRNA from 1 species
ACUCCUACGGGAGGCAGCAGCGGGGAAUAUUGCACAAUGGGCGCAAGCCUGAUGCAGCCAUGCCGCGUGUAUGAAGAAGGCCUUCGGGUUGUAAAGUACUUUCAGCGGGGAGGAAGGGAGUAAAGUUAAUACCUUUGCUCAUUGACGUUACCCGCAGAAGAAGCACCGGCUAACUCCGUGCCAGCAGCCGCGGUAAUACA